UGGAGGUAGUGACAAUAAAUCACAAUGCGGGACUAUCAGUCUUGCAAUUGGAUUGAGAACAAUGUACAACUCUUAUCGAUAAGCCAUUGGAGGGCAAGUCUGGUGCCAGCAGCCGCGGUAAUUCCAGCUCCAAUAGCGUAUAUUAACGUUGUUGCAGUUAAAAAGCUCGUAGUUGAAGUGUGGGUGAUCGCUGUUGUGAGACUUCGGUCUCUCGACAGUAAGUCACCCCCUUCCAGUAUCCAGUAGUGGGUAUUCACUUACUUACUACUGUGUGUUGGUCAUUUACUGUGAGAAAAUUAGAGUGUUCAAAGCAGGCGUUUGCUUGAAUAGAUUAGCAUGGAAUAAUAAUUGAAGGCUUUCGUGUUCGAUUUGAUUGGUUUGUUCAUGGAAGCAAGGUUAAAAGGAACAGUUGGGGGUAUUCAUAUUCACUAGUUAGAGGUGAAAUUCUCGGAUUUAUGGAAGAUGAACAAGUGCGAAAGCAA
rnacentral:rRNA from 1 species